rnacentral:rRNA from 1 species
AAAUUGAAGAGUUUGAUCAUGGCUCAGAUUGAACGCUGGCGGCAGGCCUAACACAUGCAAGUCGAGCGGUAGCACAGAGAGCUUGCUCUCGGGUGACGAGCGGCGGACGGGUGAGUAAUGUCUGGGAAACUGCCUGAUGGAGGGGGAUAACUACUGGAAACGGUAGCUAAUACCGCAUAAUGUCGCAAGACCAAAGUGGGGGACCUUCGGGCCUCAUGCCAUCAGAUGUGCCCAGAUGGGAUUAGCUAGUAGGUGGGGUAACGGCUCACCUAGGCGACGAUCCCUAGCUGGUCUGAGAGGAUGACCAGCCACACUGGAACUGAGACACGGUCCAGACUCCUACGGGAGGCAGCAGUGGGGAAUAUUGCACAAUGGGCGCAAGCCUGAUGCAGCCAUGCCGCGUGUGUGAAGAAGGCCUUCGGGUUGUAAAGCACUUUCAGCGGGGAGGAAGGCGAUAAGGUUAAUAACCUCAUCGAUUGACGUUACCCGCAGAAGAAGCACCGGCUAACUCCGUGCCAGCAGCCGCGGUAAUACGGAGGGUGCAAGCGUUAAUCGGAAUUACUGGGCGUAAAGCGCACGCAGGCGGUCUGUCAAGUCGGA